rnacentral:rRNA from 2 species
UCGCGACCCCAGGUCAGGCGGGGU